rnacentral:lncRNA from 1 species
CACAAAGCAGUUAUCACUUCCUGACAUAGUAUAUUUUUUGUUUGUUUACUGUCUGCCUUACUCUACUCUGACUUUCGAAAGGCAAGAGAUUUUGGUUGCUUUGUUCACUUGUGUAUCUCUGGUACCUACAAAAAAAGACAAUAGGAACUUGUAUCUCUCUGUGUCCUAGAACGAAACAAAGAUGCAUACUCUAGCAGCAUGAUCAAGGAGACUUCAACAAGGAAAGCAUCAUUUCUAAAGCAGAAGAUAAGGUUUCCACAGCACAUGAAGUCUCCUUGGCUUUAUUUUAUGGGCUGCUGUUCCUCAACUGGGGGAAGGCCAAGGUCACAGAGCUGGCCUUGGGGAGAGCGGACACCACCACCUGGAUGCAAGAGUGGGAAGAUAAUGUUUCCACCCUCAAGCCACCUUGUAGGCUCUCAGGACAACAUGGGGCUCACAGUGGCUCAGCCUACUCCUCCGAACUAUAGUCCCAGGGACACUGUGGCUCUCCUUGGAGCCGCCCUGCCUCCCAUCCGUGCCUAUUCCCCUUCCACCCAGGGCCCUCCAGUCAGGGUGCCGGCUAGAGUUCCAGUUUGGGGAAGGGCUUCCCUCUGUUCCUCCCCUACCCCCUGCUCGGAGGGCAGCUCCCCUUCCCCAGGGACUAGUGAUGCAGCAGCUCUAGUAGCCGGUGGUUUCCAUGGCAACGGCUUUCCUUUGGAUUCCUGUGGGGUAGGGGAGAUGCGUGUGUGCUCAUGAGUGUGUCCAUUUCCAGCUCAGGUGUGGAGGACUCUGGGUGUGGGAGCCCAUGCUCCACCUGCAGCACCAUCCUGACCAUCCCAGAAGCACCCAGCAGCAGGGGGGUCUGGAACAUAGACUGAGGGAAGUGGGGCUGUGGAAAGAUGCCCUAGAAGGAAACCUGGAGGUGGGGGUGGG